GUGCUUGUUUCAGCAGCACAUAUAUUAAAAUUGGAAAAAUACAGAAUAUUAAGAAGACCCCUACACAAAGAUGGCAAAUUCAUGAAGUGUCCCAUAUCUUU
rnacentral:snRNA from 1 species